rnacentral:misc_RNA from 1 species
GGACACCGGGGGACAUCGUUGGACACCGGGGGACAUCGUUGGACACCGGGGGACAUCGUUGGACACCGGGGGACAUCGUUGGACACCGGGGGACAUCGUUGGACAUCGUUGGACAUCGUUGGACACCGUUGGACACCGGGGGACAUCGUUGGACAGCGGGGGACAUCGUUGGACAUCGUUGGACGACGUUGGACAUCGUUGGACGACGUUGGACGACGUUGGACGACGUUGGACAUCGCUGGACACCGUUGGACAUCGUUUGACACCGUUGGACACCGGGGGACAUCGUUG